rnacentral:rRNA from 1 species
AUUGAACGCUGGCGGCAGGCCUAACACAUGCAAGUCGAGCGGAUGAAGGGAGCUUGCUCCUGGAUUCAGCGGCGGACGGGUGAGUAAUGCCUAGGAAUCUGCCUGGUAGUGGGGGAUAACGUCCGGAAACGGGCGCUAAUACCGCAUACGUCCUGAGGGAGAAAGUGGGGGAGCUUCGGACCUCACGCUAUCAGAUGAGCCUAGGUCGGAUUAGCUAGUUGGUGGGGUAAAGGCCUACCAAGGCGACGAUCCGUAACUGGUCUGAGAGGAUGAUCAGUCACACUGGAACUGAGACACGGUCCAGACUCCUACGGGAGGCAGCAGUGGGGAAUAUUGGACAAUGGGCGAAAGCCUGAUCCAGCCAUGCCGCGUGUGUGAAGAAGGUCUUCGGAUUGUAAAGCACUUUAAGUUGGGAGGAAGGGCAGUAAGUUAAUACCUUGCUGUUUUGACGUUACCGACAGAAUAAGCACCGGCUAACUUCGUG